rnacentral:rRNA from 1 species
UGGGGAAUAUUGCACAAUGGGGGAAACCCUGAUGCAGCAACGCCGCGUGAGUGAUGACGGCCUUCGGGUUGUAAAGCUCUGUCUUCAGGGACGAUAAUGACGGUACCUGAGGAGGAAGCCACGGCUCACUACGUGCCAGCAGCCGCGGUAAUACGUAGGUGGCAAGCGUUGUCCGGAUUUACUGGGCGUAAAGGGAGCGUAGGCGGAGUUUUAAGUGAGAUGUGAAAUACCCGGGCUCAACCUGGGUGCUGCAUUUCAAACUGGAAGGUUAGAGUGCAGGAUANGAGAGUGGCAUUCCUAGUGUAGCGGUGAAAUGCGUAGAGAUUAGGAAGAACACCAGUGUCGAAGGCGAUUCUCUGGACUGUAACUGACGCUG